rnacentral:rRNA from 1 species
UACGGAGGGUGCGAGCGUUGUCCGGAAUCACUGGGCGUAAAGGGCGCGUAGGCGGCCCGGCAAGUCUGUGGUGAAAGCUCAGGGCUCAACUCUGAGUCGGCCACGGAUACUGCGGGGCUCGAGCACGGUAGAGGCAGGUGGAAUUCCGGGUGUAGCAGUGAAAUGCGUAGAUAUGCGGAGGAACACCAAUGGCGAAGGCAAUCCCCUGGGCCUGUACUGACGCUCAUGCACGAAAGCGUGGGGAGCAAACAGG